rnacentral:tRNA from 1 species
ACUUAUAUAGCUUAAUCUUAGAGUGAUACAUUGAAGAUGUAUUGGUGAUUUAAAAUCUUUAAGUA